UCCGAGUUGACCCCGGCAGUCUCGUUAGAGUGCCCGGCCGAACCGCUGGCAACUAACGAUAGGGGUUGCGCUCGUUGCGGGACUUAAGGCAACACCUCACGGCACGAGCUGACGACAGCCAUGCACCACCUGUGCAGGCUCCGAAGAGCACCCGCUUUCACGGGUUUCACCCUGCAUGUCAAGCCCAGGUAAGGUUCUUCGCGUUGCAUCGAAUUAAGCCGCAUGCUCCGCCGCUUGUGCGGGCCCCCGUCAAUUCCUUUGAGUUUCAGCCUUGCGGCCGUACUCCCCAGGCGGGGCACUUACUGCGUUAGCGACGGCACUCAGAGGGUCGCUCCCCCAAGCACCUAGUGCCCAUCGUUUACGGCGUGGACUAC
rnacentral:misc_RNA from 1 species